rnacentral:rRNA from 1 species
UAGGGAAUCUUCGGCAAUGGGGGCAACCCUGACCGAGCAACGCCGCGCGAGUGAAGAAGGUUUUCGGAUCGUAAAGCUCUGUUGUAAGAGAAGAACGAGUGUGAGAGUGGAAAGUUCACGCUGUGACGGUAUCUUACCAGAAAGGGACGGCUAACUACGUGCCAGCAGCCGCGGUAAUACGUAGGUCCCGAGCGUUAUCCGGAUUUAUUGGGCGUAAAGCGAGCGCAGGCGGUUAGAUAAGUCUGAAGUUAAAGGCUGUGGCUUAACCAUAGUACGCUUUGGAAACUGUUUAACUUGAGUGCAGAAGGGGAGAGUGGAAUUCCAUGUGUAGCGGUGAAAUGCGUAGAUAUAUGGAGGAACACCGGUGGCGAAAGCGGCUCUCUGGUCUGUAACUGACGCUGAGGCUCGAAAGCGUGGGGAGCAAACAGGAUUAGAUACCCUGGUAGUCCACGCCGUAAACGAUGAGUGCUAGGUGUUGGGUCCUUUCCGGGACUCAGUGCCGCAGCUAACGCAUUAAGCACUCCGCCUGGGGAGUACGACGGCAAGGUUG